ACUAUGAACCACUAGGUUCCUCUAUGCGCUGCAAGUUCGGGCGUGCCGAACCACUCACGC
rfam:Candidatus Saccharibacteria bacterium 47-87 scnpilot_cont_500_p_scaffold_55, whole genome shotgun sequence.